rnacentral:rRNA from 1 species
AUUAAACGCUGGCGGCAUGCCUUACACAUGCAAGUCGAACGGCAGCACGGGGGCAACCCUGGUGGCGAGUGGCGGACGGGUGAGUAAUGCAUCGGAACGUGCCCUGAAGUGGGGGGAUAACGCAGCGAAAGCUACGCUAAUACCGCAUAUUCUGUGAGCAGGAAAGCAGGGGAUCGCAAGACCUUGCGCUUUGGGAGCGGCCGAUGUCGGAUUAGCUAGUUGGUGGGGUAAAGGCCUACCAAGGCGACGAUCCGUAGCGGGUCUGAGAGGAUGAUCCGCCACACUGGGACUGAGACACGGCCCAGACUCCUACGGGAGGCAGCAGUGGGGGAAUUUUGGACAAUGGGCGGAAGCCUGAUCCAGCCAUGCCGCGUGAGUGAAGAAGGCCUCGGUUGGUUAAA